AUGUUUAUUAGCAUUUGAGUCAUAUAUUGUAUAUAACAAAUUUAUUGUAAGAACAGAUAAUACACAAGUAAAAUGGUGGUUAACAAGAAAAAUACAAGAUUCAGUAUCCUCAAAAGAAAUUAGAAGAUUGGUAUUAAAUAUAUAAAACUUUACAUUUACAAUUGAAGUAAUAAAGACUAACAAGAAUGGUGUUGCAGACUACUUAUCAAGACAAAGCUACUCAGACUGAGAACAAAAUUGAAGAUACAAUCGAAGAGCUACUCAAAGCCAUUACUAUACUUUGUACCAAAGUGGACAGAAUGGACAAUGAAAUACAAAAGCUAAAACUAAUUAAGAUAACCUGAAGUCUAAAGCUAAUAUAAGUCAGCAGCAUGACUAUAAAAAUGCGGAGCUACGUCGAUCGGAAGACGAUAAAAUUCCAGAGAUAAAAGAGACGAUGGGAAACUCCCUAAAACCCAUAACAUUUGUUUAAAUACAGCUGCAGGUACAAGCAGGAAAGUUAGUGAGAAAUCACGAAAAUACAAACUUAAACCAGUUAUUUCUAAAACUAUUUACCCAAAACACACAAAACAUAUACCCACAGAUUCACAAACUUCCACAUACGCAGUUACUAUACAGAGUGAUAAAAAAGAUACAAUUAUAUCACCCAAUCAUACAUUAAAAACAUAUAUAAGAUCCAAACAUAUUUAAAUUUAAACCCAAGAUCCACACAAACCGAAAAUCCAAACGAAGAUUAUAUAACCCAAAAACUACAAGGAUAUAAUAGAUUAAUUGCACAACCUUAAACUAGUUCAAACUUAGUAAAAGCAUGUUACAGUUAUGGACUACUAAGUACAGUGUAUACAUACGACGGAAAGAAAUUACUGGAAUACCAGAGUUAUACAAAGCAUUUAUCACAUACAAAGGAGUUACAAGAGGAAACUUGUUUUAUAUCAAGUUUUAUAUAGCACCAGCAGGAUAUUGUAUGAAGUAAUUAUGUCACCGAUUCAAGUUAUCAAGAUAGGAUUAAUAAAAGAUAUGAUCAUAACAGAAGAUAUUGGACAUCAAAACGAAAUACCAAAAAUAGAAAUACCAAAUUUUUAUGCCAAUAAAAGAAUAAGUGGUAUAUGAACUAUUAUACAGGAGUUAGCACACAACAAUUUAAAUGGAAACGGUAUAUGGAGUUAUUACGCUAGAGAUCAAAUUAUGAUAUAUUCAAACUCCACAGACUUAAGAAGAAAAGAUAUGGAUGAAGUCCAGCGAUGGAUUUUGUCACUAUUAAAACAAGAAGAAUGAACUACGAAAUUUAUUUGAGAAGAAUUAUUAACCAGAUAUUGCAAACUUAUUGGACAUAAAUAUCCAGAUCAUAGAUGAUCCAAAUGCAAUGGAGAAGAUAACAUAAUACCAUAUGUUCAUUUGGAAUAAGGACAAGGAGAUAAAGAUACAAGAUAAGAUAAGGAUGAGGAAAAGAAAAAGAGAUAUGGCAGACAAAGAAAAAGUGACAAAAGACAAAGAGACAUAGAUAGAGAUAAGAUUCCUUUGUACAGUAAAUAAGUUUUGCUUUUUUGAAAGGCCAAUGUGUAUAGCCGGUCAUUUGUAAAGUUUUGUUCAAAAGUCGUAAAGUGUACAGUCGACGCACUUAUGUGCAGACUUAGGAUUUAGUAUAUAUAGAUUGCCAAAUUGUAAAUGAAAGGCAGGCAAUGAAACUAAAGUUCAAGUUAAUAAACCCUCUCUCAAAAUACAAAGCUCUCUCAAAGAUACAAACUAAGAAAAACAUAUGGAAAAAUCAAAAAUACAAUCAGAUAUCUAAGAUAGCAUGAUAAAUCAAGAGGCAAAGAUUGAAUUUAUUUGGAGGUUGAAUGAAAGGGAAAGACUCACGUCCCAGGAGUGAUAGUUCGACUAGCUUGAGACAAGAACAUGUCAUUUUCAUUAUUCUGAGACAUGGUUGUGACAAGUGUUAUGUGGAUCGAGAAAGAAUGAGAACUUAAAGAAGAUGUGUCCUUUCGAGGGACGUAUUACGUGUUGCAAUGGAUACAAUAUACUGAGGGACAUAUCGCAAGCCGCGAUGAUUACUAUUAUUGAGGGUUGUGUUGUGCGCCGUGACAGAUGCAUCAACAGAUAUGUCCCCCAUGGGUACCGGACUAAGAUACAUCGGGUGUGUAUCACUAGGUCAGACAUGAAUCAUUAUACUUGACAUUGUAUUCCAUGACAUUGCAUAUACUUAUCAUUAGUGAACUUGAUAUUGUGUUUUGAUGAUCUUGUGAAUGGCUUUCUAUGGAAUUUGUGAUUGAUGAAUACCGAGCUUGCUGUUGAGUUUAUAUAAUUUGUUAAAGUGUUGUUGUUCACGAUAUGCAAUUUAUCUAAGUGUUGUUGUUGAGGAUAUAUAAUUUUUCUAAGUGUUGUUAUUGAUCUAUGUGCUAUGUAAAAUGUGAGCCGUUAGGUUGGGAUGAGUUUUAUGUAGGUUGUAGUUGUGGAGGUUCGGUUGAGGUGGUAGGAGUUCUCGUAUUUCAUCCCAUUAGGUUGUGUAUAGAGGUUUACUUGCGGAGUACCGUGUUGUUGGGUAUUCAACCAUUGCUUCUACAACUUUUUUUAGGUUACCAACUCGGACCUUUGUGAUAUUCUCUUCUUCCUAGGCUUCUAGGAGAUUUGUGAGGUAGCUGUUUGUCAUCUUAGCAGACCUUCUUACUCCUAUAUAUGAUUUUGUUCUACUAUAGAUACAAUGUCAUAUGAGGCUUAUAUUUUCUUUUGAUUCAAUUGUAAUAAUUUAGAGGCUUGUACACAUGACAACUAGAUUUUGGGGUAUUUUUGAGUUUAUUAUAAGAUUUUCAUAUUUUAUUGUAUUAGUUGAGUUUUAGGCAGACUUGUCUGGGAUAAGACGAGUGCCAUCACGUUUAUUUUUGGAUCGUGACACAAAUUGAAGUUGAAUAAAAGUUAUUCUUCAUAUUUAAAUCAUCUUGUUGUUCCAGUUUAUUAAUAACAUUGGAAAUGAACUUAAGGAUUAUUCUGAUAGGUUUCUUGGGAUUGCCAAUAGGGUAAGGAUACUUGGAAAUGAACUUACUUAUAAUAGAAUAGUUUAAAAGAUAAUUGUAACUUUACCUAAUAGAUAUGAAAAAAUUAUUGCUUCAUUGGAAAAUAAUAAAGAUCUGACAAAGCUUAGCUUGGAAGUUUUAUUGACUACACUGCAGGCACAAGAACAACAAAGAAUGAUGAGGCAUGAGGGAUCCAUUGAGGGAGCCUUGCAAGAAAAGUUGCAGUUUGGUUCAAAUGCCAAGGGAAAAAAAGAAAAAGGAAUGAAAGGAAAUCAUUAAAACUACGAAGAGGCCACUACGACAAAUGGUGUUGCUGCAACUAAGAAUAACAGAGAAGAAAAAUAUCCUCCCAACCAACACUGUGUGAGGAGAAAUCAUCCACACUUUAUUGGAGAAAAUCUGAUAUGAAAUGCAUUAAGUUUCACAAGCUUGGUCAUGUUGAUUAUCUACAAAGAGAAGGUAUUACAACAACCAAAUGAUGCACAUAUUUCAGACAAACAAGAAGAAGAGCAACUAUUUCUAGCCAACUGUUUCGCAGUCAUAAAUUCAAGUGAAAGUUGGCUUAUUGAAUGUGGUUGUACGAACUACAUGAUCAGUGAUGAAAAGCUUUUCAGAGAACUUGAUCGAUCAAUUAAAUCAAGAUUAAGAAUCAGAAAUGUAGAAUACCUCCUUGAUCAAGGAAAGGGGACUGUAGCUAUUGAAAGUUACUAAUGUACAAAACUUAUAUAUAAAGUUUUAUUUGUUCCUGAAAUUGAUAAGAGCUUAUAUUAA